rnacentral:rRNA from 1 species
AGGGUUUGAUUCUGGCUCAGGACGAACGCUGGCGGCGUGCUUAACACAUGCAAGUCGAACGGGAUUUUGAGAAGCUUGCUUCUUGAGAUUCAGUGGCAAACGGGUGAGUAACGCGUAAACAACCUGCCUUCAGGAUGGGGACAACAGACGGAAACGACUGCUAAUACCGAAUACGUUCCUGGUUCCGCAUGGGAUAAGGAAGAAAGGAUGGCCUCUCGAAGAAGCUAUCGCCUGAAGAGGGGUUUGCGUCUGAUUAGGCAGUUGGCGGGGUAACGGCCCACCAAACCAACGAUCAGUAGCCGGUCUGAGAGGAUGAACGGCCACACUGGAACUGAGACACGGUCCAG